ensembl:lncRNA
AGGGAGGGAGGGAGGGGUCUGGGCGAGAGAGCGAUCACUAUAAACGGGGCGAGUAAUAAACCGGAUCAUAAACCGAUAAUAAAGACGACGGUACAGCUCAGCAAGCAGGUAGAAUUCAUUAAGCUUUCAGGAAUGGCUGCAAUAAGUACAGAGAAGGAAUACUAUAUGUGCGACGGCGAAAGAAACGAUUCAAACGACGACGGGGGAAAAAAAAAACAAACGGAAUGUUUCAAAAUGGCUGAAGAAGAGAGCCUGAAUCUCUGGCUUGAAAGAAUGUACGGCCUCCGUUCCAUGUCUGUACAUCCGUCCAGAAAAUGUGCCAAUAUAUAUAUAUAUAUAUAUAUACAGCCCCAAUCCUCAGAGCCUCGUCCAUCCCCACAUAUUCUCUUUCAUGUAUCCGUCUUCAUGCAGUUCCGCAUGUUCUAUGUUUGUUCUCAUAGUUACCCUUGUUUUUUUCACAUUCCAUGCCCAGAGGAUGUGAUUAGAAAGCUUGGUACAGUCAGUUCUUCAAAGAUUGACCACAGGAAGUCUGCAUAAGGAGAGAGAGAGAGAGAGAGAGAGAGAGGAGAGAGGAGAGGGAGGGAGGGAGAGAAGAAAGGGACAGAGUUUAUCUUGUGUGAAAUUAAGUUUGAAAUCCCCUGGCUGGAAAAAGAGUGGAGAUUUCACAGGUUGUUUUCUCUCUUCGUUUCACUCCCCUCCUCCCGUCCUCUCUCGGCGGACAGUUGAUAUGAUGAUUAGUAGAUUAGGACGAAGGAAGAAAAGAAAUCAUGCCCGGAAAGCGUAAAUGAUGCGUUUAGCUUUGUACAAGUUCUCCCGCUCCGUCGUAGACGUCGGAGUGCGCUUUAAAGCACGCACGCAGACGAGCAUCGGCACCCUCGUCGUUCUGCCUCAGAGCCACGCGCACGUUCGUCUCGCGCUCCUUCCGAGAGCCUUCCGUUGACGGUCGCGGUAUGUUCGGGCUUUCCUCAUGGGGGACCAGCCGAAUGUUCGCACAUGGUCCGAACUGUCAGAUAUUCCUAGCCAUAUGUGAUUAUACCCCCACACACACACGCACACACACACACACACGAUCUACCUUUCUCUGUCAGGGAACGAGGGGGUGCUCUGAAGUGUGUGCCUGCUAUCCUCUGGGGCCAGGGAACGAGGGAUGGCGAGGGAAAGAGGGGGAGGACGCUGAGACAGGCUGCGGUCAUAACUGAGAGAGAGAGAGAGAGAGAGAGAGACAUUACUUUUCGUGUAGAAACUCGUACAGGAGGAAUAAAACAGAGGCGUUAAAAUAGCAGCGAGAUAAAAUUUCCGAGAUGCCGAGCGCAGGUUAAUGCGCUCGCUGUGUUCAUCCACACGCAUCGUCGUUACAGAGCACGGAGAGACACUGUGCAUAAUUACAGCUUUUACAUUUGUGAAAUUACAGCCGGCAGUUAUUAUCUGUGACAGACUCGGAGGUACAGGUAGAUAGUGCAGAGGGCUGUUCAUGCAAUAUUCACAGUGUUCUCGCUCUCUCUCUCUCAAAUACACACACACACACACUGAAGAAAGAGCGAGAUCAGGUUCUGCUCUGAGUGCGAGGCAAUAACCAGAGGAGAGUCGUUAGAGCAGGAGGCUGAUGCACACAGAAUGCAUAAUGCACAGAACAUUGUGUGUGUGUGUGUUUGAUCUGUCCAUAAGAGGCUGCACGACAAAUUGAUGGCGACUCGGUUAAUAUGAUGAUAAGGAGUACUGCUUGAUCUAUGUGAAGACUGAAAAUGCCCUGUAAUCACUCAGGUAUUGAGUGAAUGUACACACACACACACACACACACACACAUCAUCCAAAUACACGUUCGAGCUACUGUAUUCAAGUCGGUUACGGCGACGUAUAACGUCCGACGAGCCCGUUAGUGCAAACUUCCCCGAAUAAAAACCUGUACAUUUCUACAACAGAUUUCAUAUCGCGACUUCAUAUUGCGUCAGUGUAUUCCCCUGCCGUAACGGAGACCUGGGCUUAGGACCGGAUGAGUUCGAUACAUCAUGAGAUGUAUCUGUAGAUUUGAUCAUCUGCAGCACUCUCAAUAAUUUAAAAGCACCGCCUGCAGGUCCCCCAGGCCAGGCCGAACGAAAGCUCCAAGAGAGAAAACUGCAAAGGCUUCCACAAAAGACAGGCAGAACGUCGAGCUGUCUCGCAGAGCCGUGCAGGCUUCCCUCUAAUGCCUCCACUCACGGAGAGAUAACCCGAGAGAAAAUCCGGCGUUCUGGUGUGUGAAGUAUGGCAUUAUCGGUCUGAAUACACACACACACACACACGUCGUACUAUCCUUCCACUGACUUAAUUAUUAAUGCAUCUAAUUAAUGCUAUAUGCCAAGUCUAAAUCUAACCGUAACCCUUAUUUAUUUAUUUAUUUUAUCUCAGAUAUUCCUAUCCGUGUGGGUCUCAUUUAGUCCUCAACAAGAUAUAAAAACAUGUUCACACACACGCACGCACGCACGCGCGCACGCACGCGCUGGGCAGCAAGGACAGCUGAAGUGCUGAAAUCCCCUCACCAGAGUUUGGCCGAUAUGAUGAGCGCAGAGAGAAUCAGGAGAGAUGAGAUAGUCACGGUGACGUAAAACUGAGGAUCCACUACAGAAAGAGAAAAGAACGCUAGAUUAGGGAAUACAAACAGAGCGCCAGGAAUACGAACACAAGGGACACGAAGAUAAAGGUAACACAGAGGAGUUUCAAAUCUGACGUGUGGGAGCUCAAAGAGAAGCAUUGUGGGUAGUGAACAGCUCGAGCGUCCGUCCAGGUGCCCACCUUCUUCAAUCUCUCUUUCCUCUGCGUCUCGUUCCUGCUCCUCUGCCGAGUCCUUGGCUUCGAUGGACAGCGGCUGCUGUUGGGUUUGGUUGGCUUGGGCGUUCCUGCGACGCGGCCACACCUCGGGUGUGGCCUGCUUCACGCCCUCGACUUCCUGACUGGACAGGAAGUGAUGCGUCUCGUCCUCCAGCGGCUGCGUGGGACCCCAGUCGACUGCCCAGAGCGGAGUGGGUGUGGCCUGGGGUGUAGCGGACAGCUGCAUGUCGACAGGCUCGUCGCCCGCACGGCAAUGAGGGGGACAAAUGAUGACGGCAACCAGCAGGAGGCGCAAGAGAGCAGUGAGUCCAGAGACGGAGCUACAAAAAAAAAAAAUGUAAGAAAGAACAUUAACACUAUUGAUGUUUGAUGUAUUGAGUAGCGAUAAAUAACUCAUUAAGCACUUGCACACUUCCUCGCUCUCUUUUCAUUACCAUCGCUCCAUCGCUUCUCUUUUCACUGGUUGUUCGCUCCUCUGAUCAUCUCUUGAAAGAGGGAGACGAGGAGAGGGGGAGCGCUUGGCUCCUGACACUUACUGAAAGAUCGUAAACAGAUGGCUGUAGGGGGGAACGACGCUGCAGCUUGAGAGGGAGAACACAAACAAACUCACAUCUUUCAGUCAUAACCUCAAGGAUCAAACACGCACGAAAUGAUCUAGGAAGAACAUUCACACACACACACAUAAAUAAACCAAUUACAAUUUUACACACACACACACACACAUAAAUAAAACCAUUCAUAUACACAUAUGCAAGGGAAGAAAUAUAGCAGUAUAUAUUGCCCAUUCUACCACACACACACACACACACACACACACACACACACACCUGUAGACACAUCCACUGCUUUAAUCCAGUUCCUGACUCAGGCAAUAACUCAGCAACUGGAUUUAGAUCCGAUGACGUCUUUAACACUACUACAUGUGAAACAGAGAAACACACAUGCACACACACACACACACACACACACACACACACAUGUACGCAAAUGCAUGCAGAUCACUAGUGUGUAGAAAGCCAUCAGUCCACAUGCUUACCGCUCGCUGCUGAAGGAGGGAGUGGGAGAGAGCCAGAGUGUGUCAGAGUGAGAAAAAGCAUUGGUUGCCUUAGCGACAGAGACAUGGAGAGAGAGAGUGAGUGAGAGAGAGAGAGAGAGAGAGAGAGAGGGCAUAAGUGAGAGAGAAAGAACAUAAACAAGAAAGAGAGAGAGCAUGAUAGAGAUAGCUUGAGAGAAAGAGUAUUAGAGAGAGAGAGAGAGUGUGAGAGAGAUGGUUGUUCCUGUAAAAGACAGAUUUAAAUGCUAAUUAUGCUUUUCAACUGGUUCAGUUUAACCGAACAGAAGCGGAAAAUGGAACGCAUUUUGAAAACAGAAACCAAAAGAUAAAACGGAGAAACAAUUUCAUCAUAUUCUGUCUGAGAACAGGGAAGGGAGAAAAAGUAUUUCGUUCGUUUCAGGAGGACAGACAGGAUCAACAAAAUAGAGGCAGUAAAAAAAAAUCAAUACGCAUUAAUUUGGCGCUGGGUGGAGGAGUGCACGAUGAAGAGGUAUCCUGAUAUUUAUAGACAGAAAUGCCAGAGAUGAUAAAUAAUCUCAGACACACACACACAGUCAUAGCAUGGCACGUUUAUUGGCUCCAUGAUGCAAGAUUUACAUGAAGAACAAGCUGUUGUCCAUCCGCGCUCUUUGCCCUGCCGCCACCCGCUCAAUCUGCUAAACUUCACACCUCACGUUCUAGCUCUUCCUGUCUUGGUCUCUCUCAUUUCUCUCUCUCUCUCACUGGAGGACGCAGCGUAGCCACGAUGAUCCCGACACUUCUUCUCCGUCGCUGGCCGUGGACUCUUCAUCUUCAUCUUCGUCAUCGUCUGAUGAAAGAGAUGGCUUUCAGUAUGUUUUAG